rnacentral:rRNA from 1 species
AUUGAACGCUGGCGGCAUGCCUUACACAUGCAAGUCGAACGGUAACAGGUCUUCGGAUGCUGACGAGUGGCGAACGGGUGAGUAAUACAUCGGAACGUGCCCGAGAGUGGGGGAUAACGAGGCGAAAGCUUUGCUAAUACCGCAUACGAUCUCAGGAUGAAAGCAGGGGACCGCAAGGCCUUGCGCUCACGGAGCGGCCGAUGGCAGAUUAGGUAGUUGGUGGGAUAAAAGCUUACCAAGCCGACGAUCUGUAGCUGGUCUGAGAGGACGACCAGCCACACUGGGACUGAGACACGGCCCAGACUCCUACGGGAGGCAGCAGUGGGGAAUCUUGGACAAUGGGCGCAAGCCUGAUCCAGCCAUGCCGCGUGCGGGAUGAAGGCCUUCGGGUUGUAAACUGCUUUUGUACGGAACGAAAAGACUCUGGUUAAUACCUGGGGUCCAUGACGGUACCGUAAGAAUAAGCACCGGCUAACUACGUGCCAGCAGCCGCUGUAACAC